UACGUAGGGGGCAAGCGUUGUCCGGAAUCAUUGGGCGUAAAGCGCGUGUAGGCGGCCCGGUAAGUCCGCUGUGAAAGUCCAGGGCUCAACCCUGGGAUGCCGGUGGAUACUGUCGGGCUCGAGUCCGGAAGAGGCGAGUGGAAUUCCUGGUGUAGCGGUGAAAUGCGCAGAUAUCAGGAAGAACACCCGUGGCUAAGGCGGCUCUCUAGUACGGUACUGACGCUGAGACGCGAAAGCGUGGGGAGCGAACAGG
rnacentral:rRNA from 1 species